AGCGAACGCUGGCGGCAGGCUUAACACAUGCAAGUCGAGCGGGCACUUUCGGGUGUCCGCGGCGGACGGGUGAGUAACGCGUGGGAACGUGCCCUCUGGUUCGGAAUAACUCAGGGAAACUUGAGCUGAUACCGGAUACGCCCUUUUGGGGAAAGGCUUGCUGCCGGAGGAUCGGCCCGCGUCUGAUUAGCUAGUUGGUGAGGUAACGGCUCACCAAGGCGACGAUCAGUAGCUGGUCUGAGAGGAUGAUCAGCCACACUGGGACUGAGACACGGCCCAGACUCCUACGGGAGGCAGCAGUGGGGAAUAUUGGACAAUGGGCGCAAGCCUGAUCCAGCCAUGCCGCGUGAGUGAUGAAGGCCUUAGGGUUGUAAAGCUCUUUUAUCCGGGACGAUAAUGACGGUACCGGAGGAAUAAGCCCCGGCUAACUUCGUG
rnacentral:rRNA from 1 species